GUUGUGAAAAGUCGAUUAACUUUACAAGAUGCAAUUUAGGUAUGAAUUGUAGAAGUUAUGGCUAGAUUAGAGAUGUAUACUUGCUUAGGAGCAAAACCCUAAGUGAAAAUUCGGCAUAUAUUGCUAUGAUUUGAAAACUUAGAUGAAUUACCACACUUAGAUAAGUGGGUUUUAAUGUUAUGAUGAAAUUGAUGGUCUAACUAGGUUUAGAAUCAUCAUGCAUGAUGAUGUUAAGAAGGUGUUUGAUUAAAUCAUGAAUUUGGGUACAUGAUCAUAAAUGACUUGAAAUAGGUUUUGAAUGUUAAGAUGAAAUUUGGUAAAUAUGUUCUUGGAACUAGGUGUAUGAAAUCAUAUUGUCUACCAAUUGAUAAGUAGAACUUGAUUAUAUUAAGUGUUGGGAUAAAUGCUAGUGAUAUGAUGAAACGGGUUUCACUCGUGUAUGAGGAACCCUUAGUUCUUACAAAAAUAAAUGAAUAAACUAGUUAAGAUAAUCGUUUAAACUAGUUUAUUAGCCAUGAAAAUGGGUUGCAAUUGAUGGUUUGGGUCGAAUUUGAAAGGACCCUAAACAUGAUUUUCGUAGCUUUUUAUAUGUAUUUUGACUAAUCUUAAAAAAAUCAUAUAAAAUCAACCGUUUAUCCGAUUUGGGUGUUCUAUACCUUUUUGGAAAGCUUAUGAAGUAAAUUUUUACUGUUUUCAAUCAUAAGAAACAAAUGUGGUUGUUAAAUAGGCCAAAUAGGCGAAUUAAAACUGCUGUUCAGAACUUGAAAGAUGUUGAAAAAUGAAAAUAUAGUUGCUGAGCUGAUUUUAUAAAAAUCAUAUAAAAUCAUAGAAAAUUCGUUAGAAGGUGUACCUUAUAUGCUUGCGAAGGUAUUGGACCGUUCUACGAUCCAUCUUUGAACAUGAUGAUCUAAUUCAGAUUUUAAAUGGUUCAAAAUGGACAAUUACAGCAGCUGAAUAGAAAAUCGCUGCACAUAAAUAAUGUUCUUAUUAACCAAGAAAAAGGCAUAGGAUUGUAUAUACUUGCUUUAGGCAUGAAUUAUUGAUUGUUGGGGACAAAUAGCACUUUAUGUGACAUGCUUAAAGUGUUUAAAAUCACUUACUAACUAGUUGUAUAAGUAACUUCACUAACGGGUCAAACGGUUAGUGAAUGAAAAGAAAUAUGGUAUGAAACUAGUUGUUGAAUAUACGGCAUGCUUUGAUUGAUAAGUGUGUAAAAAAAAAAGAGGGUUCCAUAGGGUGAUGGCCAUUAUAUAGAAUGACCAAUCUAACCAUCUUAUGGAUGUUAUGAUAUAGUUGACUUUAAACAAGCUAGGUGGGAGCUUGGAAAGGAACAGGUCAAACGGAUCAUGGAUGCAAAGAAUGUUUGCGCGGACGCGAGUAAUUGGAAUAUGAUGUUCCGGCAAGAUACAAUGCAAGUCGGAAUAUGUAAAAAGGUAAGAAACCAUGAAUUAUGGUAAAAGGGGUAAAAAGGUAAAUUAGUCAUGUAAUGACGAACAAAUAAAAAUGGUUUUGAGUAAAACGAGUUUAAGGGAAAACCGGGAUAGGUUUAAAGGGAUGAAAUGGUAACUAAAUACCAUCUCAUACGGAUAAAUGGUCAUUUAGGCUAAAUGGGUCAAAUGGUGUUGUUAACACCAUUUGACAAUUUCAUUUGACAAUUGCUUGUUGAGUGUUGUAAUCACAGGAAACAACAUAAACGUGCGUUGUUUUAACUAGAAAGAUUUAAAGCAAAAAGUUAUGUAAACGGGUCAAUACCUUGACCCGAGCCAGGUACGCAUAGUUAAGUUGCUAGAUAAACAUGCAAAUAUGGGUCAAAUAAUUAGCGAGAGUCCUUCGUCGUAAAUGAGGGACUAAAAAUUGACCAAAACGCCCAUGAUUUGUAAAUCGGGCAAAUGACCCUUAGAGGUCGUUUAGAUACUAGUAUUAUGAUUAUGCAACUCCUAGAUAUAUGUAAGAGUUGUAAGUAUAAACCUUGAGAGUCAAAUGCCUAAGAACGGGUAAAUUACGUAGAAUGACUAUCCAAAGGGUAAAAUUUAGAAUAACGGUCCGUUAUGUUAAACCCACUACAAAAUAGUUGUUGUGGAAUAUUAGAGGCUAUUAAAAAAAAUGGAAAUACGAAGUGUACAAAGAGAAAUGCGAGUUUGAUGCUUAAAUGCAUGAAAACUUCUAAACGGGUCAAAAUAAAGUAGGUGGUAAAAUGUUGGCUUAAGUGUAAUAAAGAAAAACGUAAACCGGGUAACGGGAGCGUAAACUAUAUGAAUAAUGGAUCCGGGUAAUGGAUGAUAGCUUAGACAUGUUAAGAAACGAACUCCAAGCAAUUAAAAUGAGUUUGGAUAGGUUUGGAUGCAAAUUUGAUGAAAAAUAAACGUGCAGAGUUGACAAGGGCGGGUGAACUUUUGACACGGCCGGGUGAAGGGGCUGUGAAAAAUAUAUGUUAAGCUGACACGGCCGGGUGAUCUUUUGACACGGCCGAGUGAAGGGGCUGAAAACAAAAUAUAUAAUUUCUUGUAUUAAAUUAUUUUGUUCAAAUGCCUUGAUUUCUAAUCUCAUAUAACUUGUUUAAACUUGUUAUUUAACUAUCAAAACUAACUUUUAAGUUGGUUUUGAUCAUAGGUGAUUGCCAAGAGUGCCCGGAUGAAGAUCAAGCUCGAAGAAGAACCGAACACGAUAAAGUUAAAAGCUUCCGCGCGGCGUUUCGUCGUAUCUUUUAAACGACGAAUUCAAUUACAUUAAGUUCUUUUACUUUUAUUGUAAAAGUUUUAGUAAACUCGUAUUGACAUACUUACGUGUAAUCGUACAAACAUGCAUUUUUACGAAAAUUAUAUAUAUAAUAUUGUAUU
rnacentral:lncRNA from 1 species